AAGUGUGGCUUAAAUACCCCAAAGGCACCAGAUCCUGCCUGAUCUUGGAAGUAAAGCAGGUUUAGCUCUGGAUAGUUCUUGCCUGGGGGACCAUAAAUGAAUAAAAAGUGCUAUUACCUC
rnacentral:rRNA from 11 species